rnacentral:lncRNA from 1 species
CAUAUGGUGGUAACCUGGGAGAAGAAAGAAGGCCCAGUUGCAUAUGGUGGUAAAGAGUGAAAAGACAAUUCAAUUAUGUAUGGUGGUAACCGUCGAAAAGAUAUUUCAGCUACAUAUGGUGGUAACCUGGGAGAAGAAAGAAGGCCCAGAUGCAUAUGGUGGUAAAGAGUGAAAAGACAAUUCAAGUAUGUAUGGUGGUAAUGGUAACCAGUGGAAAGGUAUUUUAUUUAUGUAUGGUGGUAGCAAGUGACAAUGUAUUUCAGUUAUGUACACGGAGAACUAGUGAAAAGAUAGUGAAGCUAUAUAUGGUGGUAAGCGGAGAGAAGAUGCUGCAGUUAUGUAUGGUGGUAGCAAGUGACAAAUUGUGUACAUGGGUGAGCAAUGAAGAAGACAGUUCAGCUACAUAUGGUGGCAAGCAGAGUGAAGAUAUUGCAGUUAUGUCUGGUGGUAGCAAGUGACAAGUUAUGUACAUGGGUAAGCAGAGAUAAAA